UGAGGGAGCUUGCUCCUGGAUUCAGCGGCGGACGGGUGAGUAAUGCCUAGGAAUCUGCCUGGUAGUGGGGGAUAACGUCCGGAAACGGGCGCUAAUACCGCAUACGUCCUGAGGGAGAAAGUGGGGGAUCUUCGGACCUCACGCUAUCAGAUGAGCCUAGGUCGGAUUAGCUAGUUGGUGGGGUAAAGGCCUACCAAGGCGACGAUCCGUAACUGGUCUGAGAGGAUGAUCAGUCACACUGGAACUGAGACACGGUCCAGACUCCUACGGGAGGCAGCAGUGGGGAAUAUUGGACAAUGGGCGAAAGCCUGAUCCAGCCAUGCCGCGUGUGUGAAGAAGGUCUUCGGAUUGUAAAGCACUUUAAGUUGGGAGGAAGGGCAGUAAGUUAAUACCUUGCUGUUUUGACGUUACCAACAGAAUAAGCACCGGCUAACUUCGUGCCAGCAGCCGCGGUAAUACGAAGGGUGCAAGCGUUAAUCGGAAUUACUGGGCGUAAAGCGCGCGUAGGUGGUUCAGCAAGUUGGAUGUGAAAUCCCCGGGCUCAACCUGGGAACUGCAUCCAAAACUACUGAGCUAGAGUACGGUAGAGGGUGGUGGAAUUUCCUGUGUAGCGGUGAAAUGCGUAGAUAUAGGAAGGAACACCAGUGGCGAAAGCGACCACCUGGACUGAUACUGACACUGACGUGCGAAAGCGUGGGGAGCAAACAGGAUUAGAUACCCCUGGUAGUCCACGCCGUAAACGAUGUCGACUAGCCGUUGGGAUCCUUAGAGAUCAUUAGUGGCGCACCUAACGCGAUAAGUCGACCGCCUGGGGAGUACGGCCGCCAGGUUAAAACUCAAAUGAAUUGACGGGGGCCCGCACAA
rnacentral:rRNA from 1 species